rnacentral:rRNA from 1 species
UACAGAGGUCCCAAGCGUUGUUCGGAUUCACUGGGCGUAAAGGGUGCGUAGGUGGUCGGGUAAGUCUGACGUGAAAUCUCCGGGCCCAACUUGGAAACUGCGUUGGAUACUAUCCGGCUCGAGGAAUGGAGGGGAGACUGGAAUACUUGGUGUAGCAGUGAAAUGCGUAGAUAUCAAGUGGAACACCAGUGGCGAAGGCGAGUCUCUGGACAUUUCCUGACGCUGAGGCACGAAAGCCAGGGGAGCAAACGGG